GGUGAGGUAACGGCUCACCAAGACGACGAUGACUAGGGGUUCUGAAAGGAUGAUCCCCCACACUGGUACUGAGACACGGACCAGACUCCUACGGGAGGCAGCAGUGAGGAAUAUUGCGCAAUGGAGGCAACUCUGACGCAGCCAUGCCGCGUGCAGGAGGACGGCCCUACGGGUUGUAAACUGCUUUUCUUAACUAAGAACCGUGGAUAAUCUUAUCCACCUGACUGGUUUUGGAAUAAGCAUCGGCUAACUCCGUGCCAGCAGCCGCGGUAAUACGGAGGAUGCAAGCGUUAUCCGGAUUCACUAGGUUUAAAGGGUGCGUAGGCGGAAUAAUAAGUCAGUGGUGAAAUCUUGCGGCUCAACCGUAAAAUUGCCAUUGAUACUGUUAUUCUUGAGUAUGGUUGAGGUAGGCGGAAUGAGUAAUGUAGCGGUGAAAUGCUUAGAUAUUACUCAGAACACCGAUUGCGUAGGCAGCUUACCAAGCCAUCACUGACGCUGAGGCACGAAAGCGUGGGUAGCAAACAGGAUUAGAUACCCUGGUAGUCCACGCCGUAAACGUUGAUUACUCGUUGUUGGCAAUACACCGUCAGCGACUGAGCAAAAGCAUUAAGUAAUCCACCUGGGGAGUACGUCAGCAAUGAUGAAACUCAAAGGAAUUGACGGGGGCCCGCACAAGCGGAGGAACAUGUGGUUUAAUUCGAUGAUACGCGAGGAACCUUACCUGGGCUUAAAUGUUUAGUGAUCGACCGGGAGACCGGUUUUUCCUUCGGGACACUUUACAAGGUGCUGCAUGGUUGUCGUCAGCUCGUGCCGUGAGGUGUCGGGUUAAGUCCCAUAACGAGCGCAACCCCUAUCGCCAGUUGCCAGCACAUAAUGGUGGGAACUCUGGUGAAACUGCCGGUGCAAACCGUGAGGAAGGUGGGGAUGACGUCAAAUCAGCACGGCCCUUAUGUCCAGGGCUACACACGUGUUACAAUGGUCGGUACAACAGGAUGCCAAUCCGCAA
rnacentral:rRNA from 1 species